UGUCGCUGUUUAAGCUUUACAUGUAUUUUUUAGAGAUCAAAGUUAUGUUUACUAACUUUAUUUGUUUAGAAAUGUCUCGAUUUUGAUUUAGUUGCUCUUGCUUCAUAAAAGAAUUAAUGACACAUUUGAUAUAGUUUACCGCAAACGACUAAUUUCAAGAGUGUCAUAGUGGAUUGUUAGUAAGAGAUAAACUUCAAAAUUAGAGCCUAAAGUUGGACGAAAGAGAUGCAGCUGAGGGAUGGCUUCGGAAGUACGAUUAGACAAAGUAGUUUCCGAUAUACGAGACUGUGUGAAAGAACUAAGAAAACACUUUCAGGACAGUGGUAUACCAAUCAUGGAUGACAACACUGCCCUUCACAGACUGUCUGCUAAACUUGAAUUUGUAUUUCAGCAUGGACAAAAAG